UUUCUUCGGCGUGUAGAGGGAGCUUUCCCGUGGAUGGGUAUGGUGGUGAUCGUUGGCGGAGAGCUUCGUUGCCACAGACAGACCUAGAGGCUUUCUCGACAGAUUCUGAACAACAGUUUUCAACUUAGAGCUUUGAAGAUGAUAGAAGUCCAGAAUAUUCAAAGCUAAUCUGUAUAUUAGAAUGAGCAAUAGGAAGAUCUGUGUCUGGUGGGCAAAAAGGCCCAAAGAAAAUUAAAGAAUACACCAUGCAGAGCUGCUGGUAGGUAACCACGGGGCAUAUAGAAAACCAUCAGGUUUUUAUGGAGCAAAACAAUGAACUUGACAAAAGGAACUUGGAAAAUUUAGUAAUCAUAGGAUAAAUGGGAAAUCUGUCAAAUAAAAAGGUUCAUGGAAGCAAUAUUUUUUUUCUAGAG
rnacentral:lncRNA from 1 species